UACGUAGGGUGCAGGCGUUAAUCGGAAUUACUGGGCGUAAAGCGUGCGCAGGCGGUUUGCUAAGACAGGUGUGAAAGCCUUGAGCUCAACUCAAGAAAUGCACUUGAUACUGGAUGACUAGAGGACCGGAGAGGAUAGUGGAAUUCCCAGUGUAGUGGUGAAAUACGUAGAGAUUGGGAAGAACACCCGUGGCGAAGGCGGCUCUCUGGGACGGUACUGACGCUGAGACGCGAAAGCGUGGGGAGCGAACAGG
rnacentral:rRNA from 1 species